rnacentral:misc_RNA from 1 species
GAUGAAGAACGCAGCGAAAUGCGAUACGUAGUGUGAAUUGCAGAAUCCCGUGAACCAUCGAGUCUUUGAACGCAAGUUGCGCCCGAAGCCAUUAGGCCGAGGGCACGCCUGCCUGGGCGUCACACGUCGUUGCCCCCCCAUCUAAUCCUUCGGGAUUGCGGGGGGCGGAUGAUGGCCUCCCGUGCGCCUCGUCGCGCGGUUGGCAUAAAUGCCAAGUCCUCGGCGACGCACGCCACGACAAUCGGUGGUUGCGAAACCUCGGUUGCCCGUUGUGUGCGGUCGUCGCGCAUCGAGGGCUCGAAAAAAUUGCCGGGCUCCGGCUCGACUUUCAACGCGACCCCAGGUCAGGCGGGGUUACCCGCUGAAUUUAAGCAUAUCAAUAAGCGGAGGA